UCUCAUGCCUUACUUGGUUUAUCUUCCACUAAUUGCUGAUAUUAGGAGAGCAAGAUCGCUCCAAUAAGUAAUUCUACCCGCAUUAUUUACUAAGAUUGAUUUGGAGAUUUUUACUUGGAUGCAUUCAUAACAGAGGGAAAUCCGUUCAUGCAUUUUCAUCCCAUGCAAUUUAGUAGAAGAGGAUAUAUUCUUUGAGUUUGCUGGAAAUACAUUAUAUACUUGUCUCGCAAAGUCUAGACAAGUUUUAUUUUUUAACUAUUGGUUCUAGCAAUUAUUGCUUUUAAACAUUACUAGGAGCCCAUGCAAAUUUCUAACAAACUUUGACAGCAAGUUUAAGGUAGAUCAUUUAAUGGCCUAGUUAUUAGUGAAUGACAAUUGUACUUGUGCUCUUGUUGUUAUCAUUGUAUCUCUAAUUAUUCUCCAUAAAUAUGGGCUCCGGUUCUUAAUAAAAUACAUAAAAGUCUAUUGACUUUUCUAUUCUUCUCUCCUUUUCUCUCUAUUUUAUAAUAUGUUAUCAACACGAAAUUUUUUAUGUAAAAGCACAAAUUAAAUUACUCUAUUUCUUAACGUGUCUAUUCUACAUACAUAUUUAUGUAUACAUGUGAAGUAAUCAAUUUUUCCUCGAUAUUUGUUCCUAUGAGAAUUGACAAUUGCUUUUGUAUACAAUAUUUCCAUGAUGUCAAUCAAUGCUCCGAUCAAUUGCACAAUAUCCAAUUAAUUGCAUUGUUUAUUUUUACAUUUUUGUUUGAUGUGCAUUUAUGAAUGAAUUAUUAGUCAACAUACAUAUUUGCAUAAAUUAAUUGUGAAUGCAUAUCUGUCUUAUUUUUUAGCUUCAUGUUUAUCGUUUGAGUAAUUAUCGCAUUCUUUUUUAAUAUGCAAUAUAAUUUAUGAAUUUGUUACUCUUAUGUUUGUCUGUUACAAAAUAUUAUUGCUCAUGAAGUAGCUUACUAUUAUUUACAUAUAUUCUAGAUAGAUUUCCUUGCUCCCGGAGAAAUAAUUAAAUACAAUUUAACGUAAAUUAUGUUGUACUCCUAAAGAAUAAAUUCUUAUAUAAUUUAUUUUUCUAAAUAAUGUUAUUGGUAUUGAAAAGUGUGAUAUUAUUAUUUUCAAUAUUUUAGAAGAAUAUUUACAUAUUACUCUCGAACAAACAAUAAUAAAAUACUACAUGCUCCCGAAGUAGGACGUUUCAGAAGAAUAUAUCAUUUUGAAUUAAUGUUUAUCCUAAAGGAACACAUAUAGCUCAUGUCAUGUUGAUAUUAAUUACUUAAUUAAUUAUUAUGUGAUUAUAUAAUGUUUAUUCAUAUUUUUUGAAAUUAAUUGUAUUUUCUUUUGCUUAAUUGUGUAGUUUUUCAAAUGGAAAAACAUUAAAGAACUUUAGUUUGUUUCAUUUGAUAAAUCUGGUAAAAAUUAUCUGUCGUAAGUCUUAGAUACCGAGGUUUACUUUAUCUCAAAGGGUAUGAGAGAGAUAAUAAAAGAAAAAAAUUAAGAAUUUUUGUAGGAUCGUGUAAAAGUACUUAUUUUCCUUCGUCACUAUGUUCAUGAUGGAUUGAAAAUCGAAUAUGUUGUUGUGAAGGAUCCACAGAUUCUUUAGAAAAAAAUUUAUUGAAAAGAUUUGACCACCUGAAAACUGUAGUCUUUCUAAAAACCCGUUAUGAAUAGAUGUAUCUUCACUUGAAAAAUUUUAAUUGUUAGUGACUAAUUUUAAAGUGUUUAGAAAAUGUCCAAAAUUGACUUUGUGCAAAGAAAAAAUCACUAAUAAAAUUUUGUUGGAUAACUUUUUUCAUCUUUCAUACUUCGAAUGUAUUCCUACAACAGCAAUAUCAUGAGUGUGGUUUUAGAAAGUACUGAGAACUCAUAUUUUGCCUGCUUGUAGCUUAAUAAAAUAAUGAAUAGUAGAUGAAAAAUUUUGGAUUAUGUCAGUUUGGUUCUAUACCAUUACUUGAAGUAAAUGGUACUGUAUUGUCUGAAACAAAUGAGAUUGUAUUAUUUGAAGAAAAUGCAAUAUCAAGACAAGGACAUGGAUGUGUCCACAGACAUAGGCGAAAACUAUUAGCAACCAGGUAACAAUUUCAAAAGCUUAAAGUAAAAGAAAGUAGCAUAUCUAAAAAAGAGCAUAAAAAGUUGCUUUAGAUGUGAAAUGAAAGGAUAUUAGGUACGUACUUGUCCUACGGUAAAAUAUCUUAUGGAUUUUUACCAAAAAUCAAUAAGGAAAAUGAAAAAGUAAAGACAAAAUUAGUAUAACUCACUUGGGCGUUUCUAAUUGUUUUGUUGACUUAAAUGGCAAUAUUGAUCAUUUAAUCGAAGGUAGUGUGCUCGAUAAUAUUGAUUAGUUUAUUUUUCAUUAUCUUAAUAGUUUAUUUUUAUUUAGAAUUUAUUAUCUGAUUAGAUAAUCAAUAUUUUCAUUUGGCUCAACAAUAAAAUUAAAGACAUCCUAGUGAGUCACAUCAUUUGGAUCAUUAUAAUCAGUGAAAUUUGUCAACACUUUGCCUUUUAUCUUGAUUGAUUUUUGGUAGAGAUUUAUAAGAUGUUUUGCCAUACGAGAGGUACGUGCCCAAUGCUUUUUCAUUCUAUAUCUAAAGCAAUUUUUAAUGCUAUUUUUUGGUUAUACUACUUUCAUUUGCUUAAUACAUUUUCAAAUUGUUGAAUUGUUACUGAUAGUUUUGUUGAUUAUUUCCUCUAUGAUUUUUCUCAUGUCUGCGUCCACAUCCUCGACUUGAUAUUGCAUUUGCUUCAGGCAAUGCAAUACCAUUUACAUUAAGCAAUGGUAUAGAACUAGUUGGACGUAAUGAGCAGAUCAUUAUUUUGUUCAACUGCAAGAUAUAAGUUAUAAUUACUUUUUGAAACCCUGCUCACCAUUCUGUUAGUAUAGGAGAACAUUAGAGGUAUGAAAGGUGGAAACUUUUUUUUAACAUAUUUUCAUCAAUGAUUUUUUCAUCACAGUCAAUUUUAUACAUAUUCUGAACAUUUUAAAAUUGUAGUUAUUAACAGUUUUAAAAUCUUGCAUGCGAAAAUGCAUUUAUUCAUAUUGGGCUUUAGGACGGAUUACAGUUUUCUAGUUGUCAAAUCUUCCAAUCAAUUUUUUCCAACAAACCUAUGGAUACUUCAUAGUUAGGUAUUCGAUCCUACAAGAAUUCUUGAUUUUCUUUUAUAAUUUCUCCCAAACCUUUGGAGACAAGGUGAAUUUUUUAACAUCGAGGACUCGUGACAUAAUUUUUACCAGAUAUGUUGAGUGCAACAAACUCAAGUUUCGUGAUAUUUGACAUUUGAGUGACUGCAUAAUCAAGUAAAAAAUACAAUUAAUUUUGAAGGAUGUGAUUAAACAUUGUAUAAUCACACGAUAACUAAUCAAUAUUAGCAUGACUUGAACUAUAUACUUUCUUUCAAUAAAUAUUAAUUCAAAAUGAUAUAUUCUUCGAAACAUAUACUAGUUCGGGAGUACGUUGUAUUAUGCUAUUGCUUUUUUAAGAGUAAUAUACCAAUAUUCUUUUGAAAUAUUGAGAAUUAUAAUAUCAUGCUUUUCAAGAGUAGUAACAUAUUAUUAUUUAAAAUAAUAAAAUGUAUAAGAAUUUACUCUUUAAGUAUACAAAUAUAAUUUAUGUUAGAUUGUAUUUAAUUAUAUUCUUUGAGAAUAAGUAAAAUACAACUAGAAUAUAUGUAAAUAAUAGUGUGCUGUUUGAGAAACAAUAAUAUUUUAUAAUAGAUAGAUAUAAGAGUACCAAAUUCAUAAAUUAUACUACGUAUUAAAAAAUAAGAAUACGAAAUCGAACGAUAAACAAGAAAAAAAAGAUGUGCAUUUACAAUUAAUUUUUACAGAUAUAUGAUGUUAACUAAUGGUUCAUUCAUAUAUGCACACCAAACGAAAACGUAAAAGUACGUAAUUAUUAAAUACGUGCAAUUGAUUGGACAUCAUGGACAUCAUGCAAUUGAUUGAUAUAAUGAAAAUAUUGUAUGCAGAAGAAACUAUUGAUUCCAAAAGAACAAAUAUCGAGGAAAAGCUGUUGAUUUUUUUACAUAAACACAUAUAGAAAAAUGAACACGUAAAGAAAUAGAGUAAUUUAAUUCGCGUUUUUACCUAAAAAAUUUCAGGUUGAUAACGUGUAUUAAAAUACAGAGAAAAGGAGAGAAGAAUGGAGAAGUUAAUAGACUUGUGUGUAUCUUAUUGAGAACUAGAGUCAGAAUUAAGGAUACAAUGGUAAUAAUAAUUGGGUUGCAGAUGUAUAAUUGUUAUUUACUAAUAAUCAGAUUAUUUACAUUCUCUUAGAAAUUAUUUGAUUGGACGUAUAGAAUAACCAAAAGCAAAUCCGUUGAACCUUAAACACAUAAACCCCUAAUAAAAUUCCUAUUGGCACAGUGAUAUUUAUAAUUCAGGAAUACUUUUGUGAUUGCCCAUUAGGAAUCUUAAUUCAAUUCGUGUUCUUUCUUCUCAAGAAUUGAUCUUGGAUUGAGAUGACUUCACUUUCAGAACUCAACAACGAUGUAGUUCGCAGCAGAUCAAUUGGAACCGUCUUCUCGGAUUUUGUUAGUCCUCUGCUUUCGACUUUCUGUUUCCUGAAUUUUUCCAUUAUGCUAAAGUUGUGAUUAUUAACUUGAAAGUUUUGUAUUAAUUUGCAAAUUUGUUUCGCGACAAACUGGGAGUGAGUGUAUUACGUGUAAGCGUGUGUAUGUUUAAUUUGGUAGGACGCUGUUGGAAUAAAUUUCAGUUGUAUGUUAUGUUGAAAUUGAAGUACACUGGAUGAUCAGGAUUUGGAACGUUUGUUUAGCUCUAGAUUUUAUCCAUCUCUUGUUCAGGGUGGAAAAAUUAAUUCCGCUGAUUUUCAUAGGACAGCUUAUUUAUUAGUAACAGCUAGUGACGACUAUUCGGUGUGAGUUUAUGACAUCAAAGUAAGACCGUUAGCUAGCCAUAAGACCCUGUGCAACCUCGUUGAACCCACAUCUUUUCCCUGGAGGAAUUUACCUUUAAUGACUUUGUAUAAAACUCAGGUUGCUGAAAACUACAUAUCACAUGCAUGAGAGAAGAAAUGUGGGUUUAGGGUGGAUCCGUCACCAGAUACAACAAUAGAGGCAACAUUUACACCUGAUGGCCAAUAUUUGGUUUCUGGUACCACUUCUUUUCCCUUGUCAUUAAUAAUAUUAGAGGUAAGACAUUAGUGGUAAUAUUAUUUUGGUAGUUGUAUGAUGAUAGUAUGCUAUUAGAUAUUUGUAAUGACAAUAGUUGUGGACUACAUCCUUAGGAAAGGUGAGGCAAGUUAUGUUCUCAAACAUCAAGCCAUAAUUACAGCAACAUCUCCAAAAUAUAAAAUCGACACCUGCCACUUAGGUCUUAGAUUUCCAGGGAUUUUUUCAGCCUCGUGGCACUCAAUUCUGCUGGUAUUUGUUUAUGACAUUGUAAUUGAAAUUGAUUCUUGAUUCGGUUCCAGGUUCUGGGGAUGGAAAUCUGCCUGUGUGGAGAAUCGAUAUGCUAGACAACGUAAUCUUCCUGUCCGUGUCCAAUAUGAUCUAAUCAAACCAUUUGAAGAAUGAAGAUGGAAGCUUUUGUGAUAUUGCUCAAGUUCUGUCUACAAAGACAAUUUUCUAAGCCUGUUAAACUUCCUGUGACAGCAGUUGUGGGCCCUUCUACUUCAUCUGUAAAUUUGUAAUGCUCCAUGUCUUUCGAUUUAGCUGAAAGCCAAGUUUCUUAUUUUGACAUUGGGGUGGCGUCCUGGGAUAGCUACAUAGGCGUCGCCUCUUGCCUAAAAUGGGCACCUUGUAGGGUCAUGUUUGCUGCUGCAUCUUCCGUACUCACGUUUUGGAUAAAGAACAACAGCAAGACAACCGCUGAACCUGGAGCUUUGAACCCCAAAAUGAGAGGUUGGACCGCAAAAUUUCUGUAAAAUGAAAUCUUUAUCAGUUUUCUCUCUUCAGUUCGCCUAGGAGUCCCUUUUUGUUGAUUUCUUGACUUGAUCUCAUGAUUUUUUUUUGGAUUUGAAGUCUUAAAGAAUCAUUGUUCAUACAUCAAUAGAAAUCCCAGCUCUGUACUUAAAAUGGUUUAGUUCAUAUUCCAAUGGAGUGUGGCCUCAGAUUUGCUGGCAACUUGUGGAGAUAAUCCUUCUUUAGUGAUCAAAGCAAAAAUUAGUAUC